rnacentral:rRNA from 1 species
AUACGUAGGGGGCGAGCGUUGUCCGGAAUGACUGGGCGUAAAGGGCGUGUAGGCGGCCGAUUAAGUCUGGAGUGAAAGUCCCGCUUUCAAGGUGGGAAUUGCUUUGGAGACUGGUUGGCUUGAGUGCGGAAGAGGUAAGUGGAAUUCCCAGUGUAGCGGUGAAAUGCGUAGAGAUUGGGAGGAACACCAGUGGCGAAGGCGACUUACUGGGCCGUAACUGACGCUGAGGCGCGAAAGCGUGGGGAGCGAACAGGAUUAGAUACCCUGGUAGUCCACGCUGUAAACGACGAAUGCUAGGUGUAGGGGGUAUCGACCCCUCCUGUGCCGGAGUAAACGCAAUAAGCAUUCCGCCUGGGGAGUACGGCCGCAAGGUUGAAACUCAAAGGAAUUGGCGGGG